CACUCGGAAAAACUGAGUUUAUUUGAGUACUUAGACGGCCAUUAGAGCAACGAUCUAGCACCAUAUAAAUUCAGUAUUUUCGUGG
rfam:Caenorhabditis brenneri strain PB2801 C_brenneri-6.0.1_Cont92.26, whole genome shotgun sequence.